UAUGAACAACUCAAAGUUGUCUCUCAAAUGGCUCAACAAAAGCUCUACAAUGAUGCUCAACUAAUGUCAAUAUGUAUAUCAAUAUUGGGAGGUGUUGUGUGUUUAAAAACAGCUCAAUAGACCUCUUUUUAUAUGUGAAAAUUGUGUAUGUCCGUUGCUUAAUUGGCAAUCAAUUAUGCUGAUUUUAUGCAAGGAUAAUCGAUU
rnacentral:lncRNA from 1 species